GACGAACGCUGGCGGCGUGCUUAACACAUGCAAGUCGAACGGAAAGGCCUGCUUUCCCUUGUGGAUUGCGGGUACUCGAGUGGCGAACGGGUGAGUAACACGUGAGUGAUCUGCCCCCAACUUGGGUAUAAGCCUGGGAAACUGGGUCUAAUUCCCGAUAGGACUGCAGGGUGGUGCCUGUGGUGGAAAACGAUUUUCUAGUGGUUGGGGAUGAGCUCGCGGCCUAUCAGCUUGUUGGUGGGGUAAUGGCCUACCAAGGCGGCGACGGGUAGCCGGCCUGAGAGGGUGGACGGCCACAUUGGGACUGGGAUACGGCCCAGACUCCUACGGGAGGCAGCAGUGGGGAAUAUUGCACAAGGGGCGGAAGCCUGAUGCAGCGACGCCGCGUGGGGGAUGACGGCCUUCGGGUUGUAAACUCCUUUCGACCGCGAGGAAGCCACCUGGUUGGAAGGGUGGUGACGGUAGUGGUAGAAGAAGCACCGGCUAACUACGUG
rnacentral:rRNA from 1 species